rnacentral:rRNA from 1 species
UACGUAGGGAGCAAGCGUUGUCCGGAAUCAUUGGGCGUAAAGCGCGCGUAGGCGGCCCUGUGAGUCCGUUGUGAAAGUCAAAGGCUCAACCUUUGAAAGCCGAUGGAUACUGCAGGGCUAGAGUCCGGAAGAGGCGAGUGGAAUUCCUGGUGUAGCGGUGGAAUGCGCAGAUAUCAGGAGGAACACCAAUAGCGAAGGCAGCUCGCUGGGACGGUACUGACGCUAAGGCGCGAAAGCGUGGGGAGCGAACAGG